UACGUAGGGGGCAAGCGUUGUCCGGAAUUACUGGGCGUAAAGUGUGCGCAGGCGGCAGAGCAAGUCGAGUGUGAAAGCCCCGGGCUUAACUUGGGAAUUGCGCUCGAAACUACUUUGCUGGAGUGUGGCAGAGGAAGGUGGAAUUCCACGUGUAGCGGUGAAAUGCGUAGAGAUGUGGAGGAACACCAAUGGCGAAGGCAGCCUUCUGGGCCAACACUGACGCUCAUGCACGAAAGCGUGGGGAGCAAACAGG
rnacentral:rRNA from 1 species